rnacentral:rRNA from 1 species
GACGAAGGAUGCAAGCGUUAUCCGGAUUCAUUGGGUUUAAAGGGAGCGUAGGUGGACUUGUAAGUCAGUGGUGAAAUCUUUGGGCUUAACCCAGAAACUGCCAUUGAUACUGCAGGUCUAGAGUACAGUUGCCGUUGGCGGAAUAUGACAUGUAGUGGUGAAAUACUUAGAUAUGUCAUAGGACACCGAUUGCGAAGGCAGCUAACGAAGCUGUAACUGACACUGAGGCUCGAAAGUGCGGGGAUCAAACAGG